rnacentral:rRNA from 1 species
GACAGAGGGUGCAAACGUUGUUCGGAAUUACUGGGCAUAAAGAGCACGUAGGUGGCCAACUAAGUCAGACGUGAAAUCCCUCGGCUUAACCGGGGAACUGCGUCUGAUACUGGAUGGCUUGAGUUUGGGAGAGGGACGCGGAAUUCCAGGUGUAGCGGUGAAAUGCGUAGAUAUCUGGAGGAACACCGGUGGCGAAGGCGGCGUCCUGGACCAACACUGACACUGAGGAGCGAAAGCCAGGGGAGCAAACGGG